GGCUUAGAGUUUGAUCAUGGCUCAGGAUGAACGCUGGCGGCGUGCUUAACACAUGAAAGUCGAACGGACAAAGAAGAUUUCGGUUUUCUUUGUUAGUGGCGGACGGGUGAGUAACGCGUGGGCAACCUACCUUAUACAGGGGGAUAACAGUUAGAAAUGACUGAUAAUACCGCAUAAGCGCCCGAGGUCGCAUGACCUUGAGUGAAAAACUCCGGUGGUAUAAGAUGGGCCCGCGUCUGAUUAGCUAGUUGGUAAGGUAACGGCUUACCAAGGCGACGAUCAGUAGCCGACCUGAGAGGGUGAUCGGCCACAUUGGGACUGAGACACGGCCCAAACUCCUACGGGAGGCAGCAGUGGGGAAUAUUGCACAAUGGGGGAAACCCUGAUGCAGCGACGCCGCGUGACUGAAGAAGUAUUUCGGUAUGUAAAGGUCUAUCAGCAAGGAAGAAGAGAGACGGUACUUGACUAAGAAGCCCCGGCUAACUACGUGCCAGCAGCCGCGGUAAUACGUAGGGGGCAAGCGUUAUCCGGAUUUACUGGGUGUAAAGGGAGCGUAGGUGGUAAGGCAAGCCAGAAGUGAAAGCCCGGGGCUCAACCCCGAGGAUUGCUUUUGGAACUGUCGAACUAGAGUGCAGGAGGGGCAAGCGGAAUUCCUAGUGUAGCGGUGAAAUGCGUAGAUAUUAGGAGGAACACCAGUGGCGAAGGCGGCUUGCUGGACUGUAACUGACACUGAGGCUCGAAAGCGUGGGGAGCAAACAGGAUUAGAUACCCUGGUAGUCCACGCCGUANACGAUGAAUACUAGGUGUCGGUGAGCAAAGCUGAUCGGUGCCGUCGCAAACGCAAUAAGUAUUCCACCUGGGGAGUACGUUUCGCAGA
rnacentral:rRNA from 1 species